rnacentral:rRNA from 1 species
UACGGGGGGAGCAAGCGUUGUUCGGAUUUACUGGGCGUAAAGGGCGCGUAGGCGGUCAGCACAAGUCAGUUGUGAAAUCUCCGGGCUUAACUCGGAAAGGUCAACUGAUACUGUGCGACUAGAGUGCAGAAGGGGCAACUGGAAUUCUCGGUGUAGCGGUGAAAUGCGUAGAUAUCGAGAGGAACACCUGCGGCGAAGGCGACUUUCUGGGCCUGCUUUGACACUCAGACGCGAAAGCAUGGGGAGCGAACGGG